rnacentral:rRNA from 1 species
CCUACGGGGGGCAGCAGUGAGGAAUAUUGGUCAAUGGCCGUAAGGCUGAACCAGCCAAGUCGCGUGAAGGAAGAAGGAGCCAUGGUUUGUAAACUUCUUUUGUCGGGGAAUAAAGGUAUCCACGUGUGGCUAUUUGCAUGUACCCUAUGAAUAAGCAUCGGCUAACUCCGUGCCAGCAGCCGCGGUAAUACGGAGGAUGCGAGCGUUAUCCGGAUUUAUUGGGUUUAAAGGGUGCGUAGGUUGUUUUUUAAGUCAGCGGUGAAAGUGUGUGGCUCAACCAUAAAAUUGCCGUUGAAACUGGAAGACUUGAGUGUGUUUGAGGUAGGCGGAAUGCGUGGUGUAGCGGUGAAAUGCAUAGAUAUCACGCAGAACUCCGAUUGCGAAGGCAGCUUACUAAGUCAUAACUGACACUGAAGCACGAAAGCGUGGGGAUCAAACAGGAUUAGAUACCCGAGUAGUC